rnacentral:rRNA from 1 species
GCCUAUGGCCGUACUACUCUGAGUGCACCCAAUCUCACCUGGUCUUGGAGCCUAAGCAUGAUCAGGCCUGGUUAGUACUUGGAUAGGAGAAACACUUCUUCCUCAGCCAAAGACUACAGCCUUGGUCC